GUAUACGCCGCGCUACUGCAAGGUUAGGAGGUCGUUGGCGAAGGCUUAAGGCAAAGAAAGUUCGUGGUUUUUAUCGCAAAUUAGUAUUUAUUUCAGUGUGAGUAUUUCAAACUGCACCAUAGAUCUACCUAAAACACAAUCGGUUGAAGAGGCUGUGUUGCCAUCACCUACUACAGCGCCUACGGAGGUGAAAGGUCUACUGCCUGUGAAGUCUUAAAGACAACGACUCUUCAGAACAGGUUAAUCUGAAGGAUUUUAAAAGCUGGCUGUUAUUUUCUAUAUGACUAAAAUCAGUGCUGUUCAGUGAUGGGUUGUGUGUGAGCAUUAGCAAUGAAGGUUACAGAGGUGACGUCAUUUCAGUCUUACAGUGCACUCACUGUAAGCGAUGUUAGAACAUUACACAUUUUUUGGAGAAAAUUCUUAGAGCUUGGAUGCACACCUCACUAGAAGCAAGGCAAAUCAAUUGGAAAGUUUUCAAGACAACCAAAGGAUCAAGGUAAGGCUUUUAUCACUAUAUUUUACAUUUUUAGCAAUUUUUCAACGUACAGUGUUCCAGCCAAUGUCACGCUUCAGGAACGGAAUCCUCGACGUGACCCAGGGACUGCCUGUAUAUUUAGAAGAGCAGAUGAGGACCUAACUCUGUGUUAAAAUAUAUCAUUAUAUUGUGAGAGCAGUACCAUACACUUGUAACUUUUAGGUAUAAAUAUUGCAUUAACUAAUGUAAAGUAUAAUGAGUAAAUGAAUAAGAAAUAACAGAAGGAAGAAGUUUUCUGGUGUUAUAAAAAACAAUAACUAAUAUAUGUUUACCAAAAUCUUUAAAUGCUAAUUUUGACAGGAGAUUGUAGAUAGUCUUGCUUAUCUAUUGCAGCAUGAGGGGAAAACAUGUAUACACAGAAAAGGUAAUUAGCCUAUUCCUGGUCAUUCAUGUAUGGUAGGUACAGUUGAAUAUGUUUCUCAGAUUUUUAUCUUCACCAAGAUCCAUAAUUAGUAGCUGGCCACAGUUGUUACCAGUACAAACUGCACAUUGUAUACUAAAAAUUUCUGGACUUAUGAUAUAGUUGUGAUACCAGAUAGCCUACAAUCAAUAAAUCAAUUACGUAAUCUUCAGCUAAAUAAGUUUAUUCAAUUAUAAAUCUGAUAACAUGCCUGGAAAGACUAGAGAGUGGUAAAGAGGAUUUAAGCAUUGAUACAAAACUUGGGGAAUCUAAUACAAUCGACCCCUGCCUAUUCAUGGAUCUGGAUUAACACAUUUUCUGUGGAACAUACAGCCAAAUUAUUCGUGGAAAAUUCUCCUAUUCGCAAAAUUUUUCAUAGAGAAAUAGUCAAUAAUUACUGUAUUUUCAUAUUUUCGUAACUACAUUUUUCAUGAUAAAAUUUACAAAAUAGUC